GAUCCUGGCUCAGGAUGAACGCUGGCGGCGUGCCUAAUACAUGCAAGUCGAGCGAACCACUUCGGUGGUGAGCGGCGAACGGGUGAGUAACACGUAGGUUAUCUGCCCAUCAGACGGGGACAACGAUUGGAAACGAUCGCUAAUACCGGAUAGGACGAAAGUUUAAAGGUGCUUCGGCACCACUGAUGGAUGAGCCUGCGGCGCAUUAGCUAGUUGGUAGGGUAAAGGCCUACCAAGGCGACGAUGCGUAGCCGACCUGAGAGGGUGAACGGCCACACUGGGACUGAGACACGGCCCAGACUCCUACGGGAGGCAGCAGUAGGGAAUCUUCGGCAAUGGGCGAAAGCCUGACCGAGCAACGCCGCGUGAAAGAUGAAGGCCUUCGGGUUGUAAAAUUCUGUUAUAAGGGAAGAAUGGCUCUAGUAGGAAAUGGCUAGAGUGUGACGGUACCUUAUGAGAAAGCCACGGCUAACUACGUG
rnacentral:rRNA from 1 species